rnacentral:tRNA from 1 species
GCCUCCUUAGCUCAGCCGGAAGAGCGUCAGACUCUUAAUCUGACGGUCAGGGGAUCGAGACCCCUAGGUGGCG